GACGAACGCUGGCGGCGUGCUUAACACAUGCAAGUCGAACGGAAAGGCCCUGCUUUUGUGGGGUGCUCGAGUGGCGAACGGGUGAGUAACACGUGAGUAACCUGCCCUUGACUUUGGGAUAACUUCAGGAAACUGGGGCUAAUACCGGAUAGGAGCUCCUGCUGCAUGGUGGGGGUUGGAAAGUUUCGGCGGUUGGGGAUGGACUCGCGGCUUAUCAGCUUGCUGGUGGGGUAGUGGCUUACCAAGGCUUUGACGGGUAGCCGGCCUGAGAGGGUGACCGGCCACAUUGGGACUGGGAUACGGCCCAGACUCAUACGGGAGGCAGCAGUGGGGAAUAUUGCACAAUGGGCGGAAGCCUGAUGCAGCAACGCCGCGUGCGGGAUGACGGCCUUCGGGUUGUAACCGCUUUCGCCUGUGACGAAGCGUGAGUGACGGUAAUGGGUAAAGAAGCACCGGCUAACUACGUG
rnacentral:rRNA from 1 species